rnacentral:rRNA from 1 species
UGCAGUCGAGCGCGAAGGGGGGGUAACUCCCCGAGUAGAGCGGCGCACGGGUGAGUAACGCGUGGGUAACCAACCUCCGGGCGGGGGAUAACCACCCGAAAGGGUGGCUAAUACCGCAUGAGACCACGGGGUCCCUGGACCCUGGGGCUAAAGAUGGCACCGGCUUGCCGGUGCUGUCACCUGGAGACGGGCCCGCGUACGAUUAGCUUGUUGGUAGGGUAACGGCCUACCAAGGCUGCGAUCGUUAGCUGGUCUGAGAGGAUGACCAGCCACACUGGAACUGGAACACGGUCCAGACUCCUACGGGAGGCAGCAGUGAGGAAUAUUGCGCAAUGGGGGAAACCCUGACGCAGCAACGCCGCGUGGGUGAAGAAGGCCUUCGGGUCGUAAAGCCCUUUCGGACGGGACGAAAGUUCCGCGGGGAUAAUCCGCGGAGCCUGACGGUACCGUAGGAAGAAGCACCGGCUAACUCCGUGCCAGCAGCCGCGGUAAUACGGAGGGUGCAAGCGUUGUUCGGAAUUACUGGGCGUAAAGCGCGUGUAGGCGGCUUUGUAAGUCAGAUGUUAAAGCCCUCGGCUCAACCGAGGAAGUGCAUCUGAAACGGCAAGGCUUGAGUACGGGA